GAUGAACGCUGGCGGCGUGCCUAAUACAUGCAAGUCGAGCGAACAGACGAGGAGCUUGCUCCUCUGACGUUAGCGGCGGACGGGUGAGUAACACGUGGAUAACCUACCUAUAAGACUGGGAUAACUUCGGGAAACCGGAGCUAAUACCGGAUAAUAUAUUGAACCGCAUGGUUCAAUAGUGAAAGACGGUUUUGCUGUCACUUAUAGAUGGAUCCGCGCCGCAUUAGCUAGUUGGUAAGGUAACGGCUUACCAAGGCAACGAUGCGUAGCCGACCUGAGAGGGUGAUCGGCCACCCUGAAACGGAGACACGGUCCAGACCCCUACGGGAGGAAGCAGUAGGGAAUCUUCCGCAAUGGGCGAAAGCCUGCCGGAGCAACGCCGCGUGGGUGAUGAAGGCCUUCGGAUGGUAAAACUCUGUUAUUGGGGAAGAACAAAUGUGUAAGUAACUAUGCACGUCUGGACGGUACCUAACCAGAAAGCCACGGCUAACUACGU
rnacentral:rRNA from 1 species